GAGUUUGAUCCUGGUUCAGGAUGAACGCUAGCGAUAGGCUUAACACAUGCAAGUCGAGGGGCAUCACGAGGUAGCAAUACUUUGGUGGCGACCGGCGUACGGGUGCGUAACACGUAUGCAACCUUCCUGUAAGUGUGGGAUAGCCUCCUGAAAGGGAGAUUAAUACCUCAUGAUAUGUAUUUGCUGCAUGGCAUUUACAUUAAACAUUUAUGGCUUACAGAUGGGCAUGCGUUCCAUUAGGCAGUUGGUGUGGUAACGGCUCACCAAACCUACGAUGGAUAGGGGUUCUGAGAGGAAGGUCCCCCACACUGGAACUGAGACACGGUCCAGACUCCUACGGGAGGCAGCAGUGAGGAAUAUUGGUCAAUGGGCGCGAGCCUGAACCAGCCACGUCGCGUGAAGGAUGACGGCCUUAUGGGUUGUAAACUUCUUUUACAGGGGAAUAAAGUGAGUCACGUGUGAUUUUUUGCAUGUACCCUGUGAAUAAGCAUCGGCUAACUCCGUGCCAGCAGCCGCGGUAAUACGGAGGAUGCGAGCGUUAUCCGGAUUUAUUGGGUUUAAAGGGUGCGUA
rnacentral:rRNA from 1 species